UUGACCGAUACCGAGGCUGGUCACCUAAACCAGAGGGAGUUACCUGUUGUUUAACAGGCGGCUGUACUGAGUUAAGUAUAUGUCUGUAUCCCCAUACCUAAACUUUGUUUAGGUCUGAUGCAGGUAUCGUUCA
rnacentral:ncRNA from 1 species